rnacentral:rRNA from 1 species
UUUGAUCCUGGCUCAAGACGAACGCUGGCGGCGUGCUUAACACAUGCAAGUCGAACGAUGAAGCCUAGCUUGCUAGGUGGAUUAGUGGCGAACGGGUGAGUAAUACGUGAGUCGACCUACCUUUGACUCUGGGAUAAGCCUGGGAAACUGGGUCUAAUACCGGAUACGACCAAUCUCCGCAUGGGGUGUUGGUGGAAAGCGUUAUGGAGUGGUUUUAGAUGGGCUCACGGCCUAUCAGCUUGUUGGUGAGGUAAUGGCUUACCAAGGCGACGACGGGUAGCCGGCCUGAGAGGGUGACCGGCCACACUGGGACUGAGACACGGCCCAGACUCCUACGGGAGGCAGCAGUGGGGAAUAUUGCACAAUGGGCGCAAGCCUGAUGCAGCGACGCCGCGUGAGGGAUGACGGCCUUCGGGUUUGUAAACCUCUGUUAGCAUCGAAGAAGCGAAAGUGACGGUAGGUGCAGAGAAAGCGCCGGCUAACUACGUGCCAGCAGCCGCGGUAAUACGUAGGGCGCGAGCGUUGUCCGGAAUUAUUGGGCGUAAAGAGCUUGUAGGCGGUUGGUCGCGUCUGCUGUGAAAGGCUGGGGCUUAACCCUGGUUUUGCAGUGGGUACGGGCUAACUAGAGUGCAGUAGGGGAGACUGGAAUUCCUGGUGUAGCGGUGGAAUGCGCAGAUAUCAGGAGGAACACCGAUGGCGAAGGCAGGUCUCUGGGCUGUAACUGACGCUGAGAAGCGAAAGCAUGGGGAGCGAACAGGAUUAGAUACCCUGGUAGUCCAUGCCGUAAACGUUGGGCACUAGGUGUGGGGGACAUUCCACGUUUUCCGCGCCGUAGCUAACGCAUUAAGUGCCCCGCCUGGGGAGUACGGCCGCAAGGCUAAAACUCAAAGAAAUUGACGGGGGCCCGCACAAGCGGCGGAGCAUGCGGAUUAAUUCGAUGCAACGCGAAGAACCUUACCAAGGCUUGACAUAUACUGGACUGCGUCAGAGAUGGCGUUUCCCUUCGGGGCUGGUAUACAGGUGGUGCAUGGUUGUCGUCAGCUCGUGUCGUGAGAUGUUGGGUUAAGUCCCGCAACGAGCGCAGCCCUCGUUCUAUGUUGCCAGCACGUGAUGGUGGGGACUCAUAGGAGACUGCCGGGGUCAACUCGGAGGAAGGUGGGGAUGACGUCAAAUCAUCAUGCCCCUUAUGUCUUGGGCUUCACGCAUGCUACAAUGGCCGGUACAGAGGGUUGCGAUACUGUGAGGUGGAGCUAAUCCCUAAAAGCCGGUCUCAGUUCGGAUUGGGGUCUGCAACUCGACCCCAUGAAGUCGGAGUCGCUAGUAAUCGCAGAUCAGCAACGCUGCGGUGAAUACGUUCCCGGGCCUUGUACACACCGCCCGUCA